rnacentral:lncRNA from 1 species
AUUCUAUUGAGGCAAAAUAUUUAACAUGCAAUCUGCCUGCUAAAGAAAAAUUUAAGUGUACCUGACGCUAACAUGGGCUGUAGCUAGAUAGCUACAGUGUUAUACAGCAGAUCUCUAGAACUAUUUUUUAUCUUAUUAACUGAAGUUUUAUGCCCAGUGAUUCUUAGCUCCCAAUUUCCUCGUCCUCUGAGCCCCAGGCACCCAAAUUCCACCUUGAUUGAAUGAAUUUGACUAUUUUAAAUGAGUGGAUAAGUGGCAUCAUACCAUAUCUGUCUUCUGGGUCUCCCUUAUUUCACUCAGCCUGACACCUGAAGGCUCAUUGGUGUUACUGUAUGUUGCAAAAUUUCUUUCUUUUUAAAAGGCCAAAUAGUAUUCCAUUGUAUUUAAUGUUUUAGUUAUAUUUCUCCCCAUAUGUUUUUCUUAGUACUGCCAUGUUUCAGCAGAGUGCAGGUUCAAGGACGAAGGAAAAUACAAGUCCAAUCCAGUGUGACAGUGUGAGCUGUGCAGAGGGCGGAGGGAGAAGGUGAGGUCGAAGUCAAUCACAGUUGCUGCUCCCAGGGGAAGGUCCUGAAACACCACCCCAAGAAUAAAUCGCAGGCCGGCUGGGAUCCACCCAAGAGGUUCUUGGAUAUCAUUUGUCUCACCACAUUUUUAAUAACUACCAUGUCUUAAUAAACUCUAUCCCACAUUCGUUUGGAACUCAGAAUGUAUGCACGCUUUAAAUUUAAUGUAGCUUCCAAAAUUCUAGCAAAGACACGAGGUUGCAAAACACACGGAAACGUUGCCAUGGGAAAUUCUGGAAGUGUGGAGGCGACACCAGCAUCUGCAACUUGCCCAGGCUCCUCUGAUGUCCUCUUUUACAAGUAGAGACGUCAGAAAAGGUCAGAGCUGCUGGCAGAUCCCCGAGAUGAAGAGCAGGAUGGUGCUUUGGAAAAUGGCAGUUCUUGCAGCGUUAAGG